UGGCUCAGAUUGAACGCUGGCGGCAGGCCUAACACAUGCAAGUCGAGCGGAUGAGAGGAGCUUGCUCCUUGAUUUAGCGGCGGACGGGUGAGUAAUGCCUAGGAAUCUGCCUGGUAGUGGGGGAUAACGUUCCGAAAGGAACGCUAAUACCGCAUACGUCCUACGGGAGAAAGCAGGGGACCUUCGGGCCUUGCGCUAUCAGAUGAGCCUAGGUCGGAUUAGCUAGUUGGUGAGGUAAUGGCUCACCAAGGCGACGAUCCGUAACUGGUCUGAGAGGAUGAUCAGUCACACUGGAACUGAGACACGGUCCAGACUCCUACGGGAGGCAGCAGUGGGGAAUAUUGGACAAUGGGCGAAAGCCUGAUCCAGCCAUGCCGCGUGUGUGAAGAAGGUCUUCGGAUUGUAAAGCACUUUAAGUUGGGAGGAAGGGCAUUAACCUAAUACGUUAGUGUUUUGACGUUACCGACAGAAUAAGCACCGGCUAACUUCGUGCCAGCAGCCGCGGUAAUACGAAGGGUGCAAGCGUUAAUCGGAAUUACUGGGCGUAAAGCGCGCGUAGGUGGUUCGUUAAGUUGGAUGUGAAAGCCCCGGGCUCAACCUGGGAACUGCAUCCAAAACUGGCGAGCUAGAGUACGGUAGAGGGUGGUGGAAUUUCCUGUGUAGCGGUGAAAUGCGUAGAUAUAGGAAGGAACACCAGUGGCGAAGGCGACCACCUGGACUGAUACUGACACUGAGGUGCG
rnacentral:rRNA from 1 species